rnacentral:rRNA from 1 species
UACGAAGGGGGCUAGCGUUGCUCGGAAUCACUGGGCGUAAAGCGCACGUAGGCGGCUUAUUAAGUCAGGGGUGAAAUCCUGGAGCUCAACUCCAGAACUGCCUUUGAUACUGAUGAGCUUGAGUUCGGGAGAGGUGAGUGGAACUGCGAGUGUAGAGGUGAAAUUCGUAGAUAUUCGCAAGAGCACCAGUGGCGAAGGCAGCUCGCUGGGACGUUACUGACGCUGAGACGCGAAAGCGUGGGGAGCAAACAGG